AGCUGGAAUCGCUAGUAAUCGCGGAUCAGAAUGCCGCGGUGAAUACGUUCCCGGGUCUUGUACACACCGCCCGUCACACCAUGGGAGUCGGUAACGCCCGAAGCCAGUGACCCAACCUUAGGGAGGGAGCUGUCGAAGGCGGGACGGAUAACUGGGGUGAAGUCGUAACAAGGUAUC
rnacentral:rRNA from 1 species